CCUACGGGCGGCUGCAGUGGGGAAUAUUGGACAAUGGGCGAAAGCCUGAUCCAGCCAUGCCGCGUGUGUGAAGAAGGUCUUCGGAUUGUAAAGCACUUUAAGUUGGGAGGAAGGGCUUCUGGCUAAUAUCCAGGAGUUUUGACGUUACCAACAGAAUAAGCACCGGCUAACUUCGUGCCAGCAGCCGCGGUAAUACGAAGGGUGCAAGCGUUAAUCGGAAUUACUGGGCGUAAAGCGCGCGUAGGUGGUUCAGCAAGUUGAAGGUGAAAUCCCCG
rnacentral:rRNA from 1 species